AUUGAACGCUGGCGGCAGGCCUAACACAUGCAAGUCGAGCGGAUGAAGGGAGCUUGCUCCUGGAUUCAGCGGCGGACGGGUGAGUAAUGCCUAGGAAUCUGCCUCGUAGUGGGGGAUAACGUCCGGAAACGGGCGCUAAUACCGCAUACGUCCUGAGGGAGCAAGUGGGGGAUCUUCGGACCUCACGCUAUCAGAUGAGCCUAGGUCGGAUUAGCUAGUUGGUGGGGUAAAGGCCUACCAAGGCGACGAUCCGUAACUGGUCGGAGAGGAUGAUCAGUCACACGGGAAGUGAGACACGGUCAAGACUCCUACGGGAGGCAGCAGUGGGGAAUAUUGGACAAUGGGCGAAAGCCUGAUCCAGCCAGGCCGAGUGUGUGAAGAAGGUCUUCGGAUUGUAAAGCACUUUAAGUUGGGAGGAAGGGCAGUAAGUUAAUACCUUGCUGUUUUGACGUUACCAACAGAAUAAGCACCGGCUAACUUCGUG
rnacentral:rRNA from 1 species